rnacentral:tRNA from 1 species
GACGUAGCUCAGUUGGCUAGAGCACCUGCUUUGCAAGCAGGGGGUCGUGGGUUCGAUUCCCAUCGUC